AGUAGCCUAGUACAAACUGCUGUAGCCUCCAUGUCAUGGGCAGACAGGUGUUGUAAAGGCCACACCAGCAUAUCCUGGACCAAAGUGACAUUUGCAGCUGACAGCCCGACUCCACUCCUGACUUCCACCCGUCCGAGGCUGCAGCUGGCUGCUGGGCUCCCAGGACGAGCCCCGAACGUCUGGACGCCUGACCGUUGAAGGGCCUGUUGAAAAGCGUUGAAAGCCUGAACGCUGUCCAAAGAGCUCACCGGUGCGUACAAAAGGCCCCGCACAUUGGACGGACUGCCAGGGGAAAUAGAGCGUGGAGGCAGGUCACCUCAGUAAUGAGCCAUGUGGUCCCCUCUGGCGCUCACUAAUCAGGGAUCCAAGGCCGUCCCAUCCUCGGCCUGACGCCGCGGCAGCAAAACAGACUCUGAACCCAAAGUGGUUGUCUCUCUGCCAUCUGGCCUCCAUGCCUGGCCCUGUCUCCACUCUGCCGGCGAUUUAUGCCCUCCUGAGGUGUUUCGCCUUUUAACUCGCACAUAAUUGGCCCCCAGAUGCAAAAAAAGAUGUGGAGGCCAGUUUUUAUUAGUUGCCAAGCAGAGGUCAUUGUUUUUGCAUCGCUGCGACUCCUCAGCGCUGCCAAGGUUAAAAAGACACGCUUCAUGUCUGUACCUUGACCAAUUACUGAAGGAAAUAAGGAGUCCGUACGAACAUAAAUGAAGGUAAUGAUGGAAUAUAGAGCUGAAUGGAGGCAGUGUGUGAUGGUGUGUGCUGGAUGACAGUGGUAAAGGAAGCAAUGAAAAACAAAUCAUAUGGACUCAGGACUUUCCUACACAGUCCUAAAAUACCUUCUGUCCUGUUUCCUGUCCACAGACUCCACCUCCACGACUGACUCACCAGACAUGCUGUCAAUUUGUUUGAAUUUAUAGGCAAUAUUCACAAGAAAAGCACAUGACAUGACCGGAAUAAGAAACUUCACUGCUUGAAAAGUCUGAUUGAAAGUCAGAUAUCAUUUUAAAGUGUAACCCCACCAAGUGAUAAAUGGUGGAACCUGUUCUAAGGUCAUGUUUAGACUGACAACAGCACUGUGUGUGCACCUAAUCACUGUAUUCGUACAACAUGGUACAGGGGCCAUACAACGAAAACAUUGUGUAUUUGGGCAAAAAUGUGCUUUAUCUAUUUAAAUAUGUGCAAUCACACAUUUCUGAUGAAUUACUUUGUACUUUGUACCUCACGAUCAUGAAGAUGGAGGAUAAAAUUAUUGUUAGUGAUAACUUUCCAGAGUUGUAAAAUCCUGAAGUAUUUCUCUAUAAACCUCUUU